rnacentral:rRNA from 1 species
ACGAAGCAAUUAAAAUGAAGUUUUCGGAUGGAUUUUUAAUUGACUGAGUGGCGGACGGGUGAGUAACGCGUGGAUAACCUGCCUCACACUGGGGGAUAACAGUUAGAAAUGACUGCUAAUACCGCAUAAGCGCACAGUACCGCAUGGUACGGUGUGAAAAACUCCGGUGGUGUGAGAUGGAUCCGCGUCUGAUUAGCCAGUUGGCGGGGUAACGGCCCACCAAAGCGACGAUCAGUAGCCGACCUGAGAGGGUGACCGGCCACAUUGGGACUGAGACACGGCCCAAACUCCUGCGGGAGGCAGCAGUGGGGAAUAUUGCACAAUGGGCGAAAGCCUGAUGCAGCGACGCCGCGUGAGUGAAGAAGUAUUUCGGUAUGUAAAGCUCUAUCAGCAGGGAAGAAAAUGACCGUACCUGACUAAGAAGCCCCGGCUAACUACGUGCCAGCAGCCGCGGUAAUACGUAGGGGGCAAGCGUUAUCCGGAUUUACUGGGUGUAAAGGGAGCGUAGACGGCGAAGCAAGUCUGAAGUGAAAACCCAGGGCUCAACCCUGGGACUGCUUUGGAAACUGUUUUGCUAGAGUGUCGGAGAGGUAAGUGGAAUUCCUAGUGUAGCGGUGAAAUGCGUAGAUAUUAGGAGGAACACCAGUGGCGAAGGCGGCUUACUGGACGAUAACUGACGUUGAGGCUCGAAAG